AGAGCGAACGCUGGCGGCAGGCCUAACACAUGCAAGUCGAGCGCCCGUAGCAAUACGGGAGCGGCAGACGGGAUAGUAACACGUGGGAACGCGCCCUUCGGUUCGGAAUAACUCAGGGAAACUUGAGCUAAUACCGAAUACGCCCUUACGGGGAAAGAUUUAUUGCCGAAGGAACGGCCCGCGUCCGAUUAGCUAGUUGGUGAGGUAAUGGCUCACCAAGGCUACGAUCGGUAGCUGGUCCGAGAGGAUGACCAGCAUCACUGGGACUGAGACACGGCCCAGACUCCUACGGGAGGCAGCAGUGGGGAAUAUUGGACAAUGGGCGAAAGCCUGAUCCAGCCAUGCCGCGUGGAUGAUGAAGGCCUUAGGGUUGUAAAGUCCUUUUAACGGGAGAUAAUGACGGUACCCGUAGAAUAAGCCCGGCUAACUUCGUGCCAGCAGCCGC
rnacentral:rRNA from 1 species